rnacentral:rRNA from 1 species
UACAGAGGGUGCGAGCGUUAAUCGGAAUUACUGGGCGUAAAGCGUGCGUAGACGGUUACGUAAGUCGGGUGUGAAAGCCCCGGGCUCAACCUGGGAAUUGCAUUCGAGACUGCGUAGCUAGGGUGCGGAAGAGGGAAGCGGAAUUUCCGGUGUAGCGGUGAAAUGCGUAGAUAUCGCUUGGAACGCCGAAGGUGAAAACAGGUCGCUGGGGACGCGCCGACGCUGAGACACGAAAGCCAGGGGAGCAAACGGG